GCAGUCGAGCGGCAGCGCGGGGCAACCUGGCGGCGAGCGGCGAACGGGUGAGUAAUGCAUCGGAACAUGUCCAUGUCGUGGGGGAUAGCCCGGCGAAAGCCGGAUUAAUACCGCAUACGCCCGAGAGGGGAAAGUGGGGGACCGCAAGGCCUCACGCGAUUGGGUUGGCCGAUGUCCGAUUAGCUAGUUGGCGGGGUAAGAGCCCACCAAGGCGAUGAUCGGUAGCUGGUCUGAGAGGAUGAUCAGCCACACUGGGACUGAGACACGGCCCAGACUCCUACGGGAGGCAGCAGUGGGGAAUUUUGGACAAUGGGGGCAACCCUGAUCCAGCCAUUCCGCGUGAGUGAAGAAGGCCUUCGGGUUGUAAAGCUCUUUUGUCCGGAACGAAACGGUUACAGCGAAUACCUGUGACUACUGACGGUACCGGAAGAAUAAGCACCGGCUAACUACGUGCCAGCAGCCGCGGUAAUACGUAGGGUGCGAGCGUUAAUCGGAAUUACUGGGCGUAAAGCGUGCGCAGGCGGUUUUGUAAGCCAGAUGUGAAAUCCCCGGGCUUAACCUGGGAAUGGCAUUUGGGACUGCAAGGCUGGAGUUUGGCAGAGGAGACUGGAAUUCCUGGUGUAGCAGUGAAAUGCGUAGAUAUCAGGAGGAAUACCGAUGGCGAAGGCAGGUCUCUGGGCUGAAACUGACGCUCAUGCACGAAAGCGUGGGGAGCAAACAGGAUUAGAUACCCUGGUAGUCCACGCCCUAAACGAUGUCGACUGGUUGUUGGGGGUUUGACACUCUCAGUAACGAAAGCUAACGCGUGAAGUCGACCGCCUGGGGAGUACGGCCGCAAGGUUAAAACUCAAAG
rnacentral:rRNA from 1 species